GGGUUGUGAGGUUAAGCGACUAAGCGUACACGGUGGAUGCCCUGGCAGUCAGAGGCGAUGAAGGACGUGCUAAUCUGCGAUAAGCGUCGGUAAGGUGAUAUGAACCGUUAUAACCGGCGAUUUCCGAAUGGGGAAACCCAGUGUGAUUCGUCACACUAUCAUUAACUGAAUCCAUAGGUUAAUGAGGCGAACCGGGGGAACUGAAACAUCUAAGUACCCCGAGGAAAAGAAAUCAACCGAGAUUCCCCCAGUAGCGGCGAGCGAACGGGGAGCAGCCCAGAGCCUGAAUCAGUGUGUGUGUUAGUGGAAGCGUCUGGAAAGGCGCGCGAUACAGGGUGACAGCCCCGUACACAAAAAUGCACAUACUGUGAGCUCGAUGAGUAGGGCGGGACACGUGGUAUCCUGUCUGAAUAUGGGGGGACCAUCCUCCAAGGCUAAAUACUCCUGACUGACCGAUAGUGAACCAGUACCGUGAGGGAAAGGCGAAAAGAACCCCAGCGAGGGGAGUGAAAAAGAACCUGAAACCGUGUACGUACAAGCAGUGGGAGCACAGAGCAAUCUGUGUGACUGCGUACCUUUUGUAUAAUGGGUCAGCGACUUAUAUUCUGUAGCAAGGUUAACCGAAUAGGGGAGCCGAAGGGAAACCGAGUCUUAACUGGGCGUUAAGUUGCAGGGUAUAGACCCGAAACCCGGUGAUCUAGCCAUGGGCAGGUUGAAGGUUGGGUAACACUAACUGGAGGACCGAACCGACUAAUGUUGAAAAAUUAGCGGAUGACUUGUGGCUGGGGGUGAAAGGCCAAUCAAACCGGGAGAUAGCUGGUUCUCCCCGAAAGCUAUUUAGGUAGCGCCUCGUGAAUUCAUCUCCGGGGGUAGAGCACUGUUUCGGCAAGGGGGUCAUCCCGACUUACCAACCCGAUGCAAACUGCGAAUACCGGAGAAUGUUAUCACGGGAGACACACGGCGGGUGCUAACGUCCGUCGUGAAGAGGGAAACAACCCAGACCGCCAGCUAAGGUCCCAAAGUCAUGGUUAAGUGGGAAACGAUGUGGGAAGGCCCAGACAGCCAGGAUGUUGGCUUAGAAGCAGCCAUCAUUUAAAGAAAGCGUAAUAGCUCACUGGUCGAGUCGGCCUGCGCGGAAGAUGUAACGGGGCUAAACCAUGCAC
rnacentral:rRNA from 1 species